rnacentral:lncRNA from 1 species
CAAUUUGUCAGCCGUCAUCGGGUAAAAACGACAAAUCAAAGAAUUCAACUCUAUAUAUAACUAAUAUAGGACAAUGGUGUAGAUUAAAAAUUACACCACUCCAGACCCUUUUGUUUUCAGCAUAAUUAAAUAUUGCCAAUAAUUAACAAGUUCCGGGUCAAAUCCGAUACCGAUACAAAUAGUAUAUUCAGCUAUUACCUUAUCUGUACGUUCCGCAUUUGACAGGCGCACCACCAAACGGUGUAUUUAUGAUUUUGCUAUAUACACGGGUCAUAAUCAAAGGACUGACACUACUAAAUUCAAUCAUUGUCAAAUUGUUCCCUAUUGUAGUUUUAUUCAGCAAUCAGCAAGACUUUCUAAGAUAACUAAUAUAGGACAAUGCUGUUGAUUAAAAAAUACUCCAUUCCU